UACGAAGGGGGCUAGCGUUACUCGGAUUGACUGGGCGUAAAGGGCGCGUAGGCGGAUGGUACAGUCAGACGUAAAAUUCCUGGGCUCAACCUGGGGGCUGCGUUUGAUACGUGCUGUCUGGAGUUCGGAAGAGGGUCGUGGAAUUCCCAGUGUAGAGGUGAAAUUCGUAGAUAUUGGGAAGAACACCGGUGGCGAAGGCGGCUCACUGGCUCGUAACUGACGCUCAUGCACGACAGCGUGGGGAUCAAACAGG
rnacentral:rRNA from 1 species